rnacentral:lncRNA from 1 species
CAACAGAAAAAUCACAUAAUUUUUAAAUAUAUUGACUAGGAAAUAAAAAUGCUAACGAGAAUAUAUGAGCAGAAAACUUUAUUUGGAUAUUCACAUUGAACAAACACCUGUGAUGCAAUCUAGGCCUUGAUAACAACUAAUUAGGAUUUUUGAUCCACAGGUGGCCCUAACAGUGGAGGUGGCGGAGGAUCCUUUGAAGGACCUGAUGGAGGGAUAGGGACCCCUUUCGGAAGCCUGGGAACACCUCAUUCCUGCGUAAAGCAGGUGGCCCUAACAGUGGAGGUGGCGGAGGAUCCUUUGAAGGACCUGUGGAGGGAUAGGGACCCCUUUCGGAAGCCUGGGGAACACCUCAUUCCUGCGUAAAGCAGGUGGCCCUAACAGUGGAGGUGGUGGAGGAUCCUUUGAAGGACCUGAUGGGGAUAGGGACCCUUUGGAAGCCUGGGGAACACCUCAUUCCUGGUAAAGCAUGUGGCCCUAACAGUGGAGGUGGUGGAGGAUCCUUUGAAGGACCUGAUGGAGGGAUAGGUACUCCUUUUGGAAGCCUGGGGAACACCUCAUUCCGGGGUACAAAAUUGCUCAAAACUCAAUCCUUGUCUACUUGCAACCAUGGAGUUGAAGAGGGUAAAGACAAGAAAAGAGGGCAUUAGUAUGCGCCAUAAAAGAUAUACAGUUUUUGAGGAAGAGAUUAGAAAGGCCAUUGAGAACCUUUAUUUUCUUCUUUUUGGGAUGAUUGAUUAGAG